rnacentral:lncRNA from 1 species
CUUGAACAUGUGGUCUGGUCUGCUACUGAGCUCGCUUACUACUUUCUUACAGCAAAACGAGGAGAAUAAGAAAAAGAACAAAAGAGCAGCAUUAAAAGCAGCAAUUGAACUGGAGGAGGCAAUAAAAGAGGCGUCACAAGCAGCAAAGAAACAACAAAAAAGGUCUUCAAUUCUUGAGUGUGAAGACAUAAAUUGGGAGGAUGACCACAGGCAAAGACAGUACCAUGGUAAAUAUGGACGAGAGGUUCAACAACAACCCACGAGAGGCCCAAACUCCAGGCCCCAUCACCACCAGGGUCAACACGGCGGGUCCCCUGGGUACCUGCCCGGGGCCCCACGACAAACUGAACCGAGAAUGCACCGAGCACCAAAUAUACAAAGACAUUGAUCAAUAAGAGAACUGUGAAGUGGGACUAUAGGUUUUUAAAAGCACCUUACCGACAAUGACUUCAGCGUAGGAGUCAACUCAUUAGGAUGGUCAAACGUUCAAGUUCAGUCUGACUUUGCUUCUCAAGAUAUCGCGAGAUUUGAGAGUUAUGUACACAACAUGUUUCAUAUUUGACAGAUCCUCAAAGCCAAAACCAAAGCUGUUGUCUUUUGAACCAUAUGAUUUUAUCCUACUGAAGAUUUUAGGAACACACUUGUUUAAUAAAAGCACACAUUUUCCCGUAAAGGGCCAUUCUCUGAAAAAGAAUGGCCAAGCGACAUAUGAGGAAUGAAUGUCAAGCCCUGAUUAUCAAGUGGGAAGAACAACCUCUAUUGAGCAUGAAUCGCACAUGUUGAUUAGCUACUGUAAAAUUAUGAUUUUUGUGAUGAAUUCAUUCUAUAGUAGCUGACAUAACACAUAGUAAAACAAAUAAAGUAGUAACCCAAACAUUUACGCAAGCAGUGACUGAGACCUUGUUGUCCCUGUAACUGGGCCAAUGUAAUAAACUAUUUAUUAGACACAGAGACCAUUUAACCUAGCUCUUGUGGAGGCCUCAUUCCUCACUCAUUCAUGUCUGGCAAGAAUUACUUUUCUCUAACAACAGUUUUUUCCCUUGGCAAACUGUAGGCGAUAUUGCAUUGGAAUCAUUGUUUUUUUUUGUAUCUUUUGUUUGCCUAAAAGGAAAAAAAGCUGAAACUUAUGAUUUCAGCAUUUUAUAACAUUGAUCCAUAUUCAAUGUCAAAACAAAAGCGCAGUUUGAGUGUUUGUCAAUCAAACAGACAGAUAUAGGCCUAC